rnacentral:rRNA from 1 species
GAUGAACGCUGGCGGCGUGCCUAAUACAUGCAAGUCGAGCGAACAGACGAGGAGCUUGCUCCUCUGACGUUAGCGGCGGACGGGUGAGUAACACGUGGAUAACCUACCUAUAAGACUGGGAUAACUUCGGGAAACCGGAGCUAAUACCGGAUAAUAUAUUGAACCGCAUGGUUCAAUAGUGAAAGACGGUUUUGCUGUCACUUAUAGAUGGAUCCGCGCCGCAUUAGCUAGUUGGUAAGGUAACGGCUUACCAAGGCAACGAUGCGUAGCCGACCUGAGAGGGUGAUCGGCCAGCCUGGAAGUGAGACACGGUCCAGACUCCUACGGGAGGCAGCAGUAGGGAAUCUUCCGCAAUGGGCGAAAGCCUGACGGAGCAACGCCGCGUGAGUGAUGAAGGUCUUCGGAUCGUAAAACUCUGUUAUUAGGGAAGAACAAAUGUGUAAGUAACUAUGCACGUCUUGACGGUACCUAAUCAGAAAGCCACGGCUAACUACGUG